rnacentral:rRNA from 1 species
GACGAACGCUGGCGGCGUGCCUAAUACAUGCAAGUCGAACGCAGUGGGGAUGGGUGAGUAACACGUGGGCAAUCUCCCAUCAGAGGGGAUAAAACUUGGAUACAGGUGCUAAACCGAUAUUGAUGUAUGGAGCCGCGGUGGAUUAGCUAGGUGGUGAGGUAACGGCUAACCAAGGUCACGAUGCAUAGACGACCUGAAAGGGGGAUCGGCCACACUGGGACUGAGACACGGCCCAGACUCCAACGGGAGGCAGCAGUAGGGAAUCUUCGGCAAUGGGCGAAAGUCUGACCGAGCAACGCCGCGUGAAUGAUGAAGGUUUGAGGAUCGUAAAACUCUGUUGUUAGAGAAGCGGUAUCUAACCAAAAAGCCACGGCUAACUACGUGCCAGCAGCCGCGGUAAUAC